AAGAACCUGGGUAUGUUCUUGGGUAUAUUCACUAAAGGGAUCCCCUUUCCAAUAAAAUGUUAAAGGAAAUCUAUUAACCCAAGAUUGUUAAAGCUGAAAAGCCCUCCAGGGGGUGUGAAACCCUCGGAUACGUGCAGGAAGCGUCAGGUCUGGGGACUUCGCGGGGCUGUCCUCUGCCGCUCCCCAAGCUCCGCCAGGCCUGCCCCAGAGCUGCCGACCCGGCGGUGCGCGCCACUCUCCUCCCAGCCCCGGGGGCAGAGCCGGACUCGGCCUGGCUGGGCUGCUGCUGCCACUCCUCUCGCGGAUGCCGAAAACUCCUGCUUCACUGUCGAGCCCAAAGACACCAAAGUGGGGCAGCUGAGUUGGUACCCAGGUGUCCCGAAUCCAAAGCUUCCACUACACAGCCAACACGCGUCUGCCCGGAGUCGGGGUGGAGGGGACACAGCGUGCUCUGGCAGGGUAACUUCAGCUGGCGGGCCGGGGGAGGAGCUCGUAGGGAGCCGACGUCAGGGCUUUGAAGGACGAACGAAGGUUCUCUGAGCCGGGCAAAGCGGAAGAGCCUUGCAGGCAAAAGGAACAGCACGCGAAAGACAACGCAGACACUGUAGUCAUCAGGACUCUUGGCUGUGGGGAGAAUCUAACUUGACCCAGCCUAGUCGAGGGGUGGCCAUCCAAUGGCGGCUUCUAGAGGAGUCCAGCAGUGGAGCCGACCACACGCCUAGGUUUAAGCUGUCUUCCUGGGUUCUGCAUCUUUCUGCCCUUGAAGACUGAGGAUGAGUCAGUCAUCAUGAGGGCGGCCGAGCAUCAGGCAGUGUCACCAGAGACAGACCAGCACUCACCACCUUGCCAUGUCCUGUCCACUCUGAUCCUCCUGUUCUUCUACACGCAUCUGCGAAAGUCUCCUCCUCUCUCUGGCCCCGCGUUCACCGCUCACUCUGACCUCCGCUCCGCCUCCACACAGCAGUGACGUCAGGACUCUGCGUAACGUCACUGGUUGCUAGACGCCAGUCCGGGCGGCCCCAGCAACCAGUUUACGGUAAAUUAAUUUUCAUUCCGAGACAGAGCCUGGGGGGGCCUUAUUUUCUGGGGGAUGCCUUAUAUUUCACCCAGAAGGAAACCUGUAAGUAGGUCUUAGUUUCGGAGGAUGUUUUAUUUUCGGGAAACAUGAUAGCACAACCCUGGCUCACAGCAGGUACUCAGCGUAUGCUGAAUAAAGGAACAUCAGUUGAAUACAGCUCCAGAGUGAAUGCUAGGCUAGGGUGUGAGGGUAGCAGUGUCUGGUGCAUGGUUGCACUGGAGUUCCCCGUCUCAACUGGGGCCAUGUCCUCCUCUAGACCUUGGACUUCCCCACAGGGACUUGAGGGGAGGGGCAUGCCUUCCAGAGGGAAGAGAAGGAGGGGGUUAGAUGUUUCAACAGCUUUCCCCCACCUCCUCCAGCUGACUCUGGAGGUGUGCUACUCACUGGCCAAGAGUUACUGAAGGCAAGGGCUGCUCAGUAAAGCCUUUGCAUUCUUCAAUUCACCAUCUGGCAGAGGACAUUAAAAACUAUGUUGUUUUAGGGCGGUGCCUGUGGCUCAAAGGAGUAGGGUGCAGGCCCCAUAUAUCAGAGGUGGCGGGUUCAAACCCAGACCCGGCCAAAAACUGCAAAAAAAAAAAAGUUUUAAAGACAGAAUUGGAUCUGUGAAGAAUAGAGGGAUCCAACUUGCACUUUGACUUCAUUUUACAGACUUUAUUCAGAACUAGAGAGCACUCUAUUUGUAUUUUUCCACAGGUGGGUCUUGGAUCCACAGUGGUUAAGCAAAAACCUUCCCAAAUUUCUCAAUAUAAUACAAUUGAUUUUCUGUUAAGAAUAUCAAGUGUG